GGGGAUGAUCGGCCUAGACAUUUGGUUUCUUCUUAUAUGUGCAAAGUCGAAAUAAGUAAUUCGUAAAAAGGCUUAAUAAAGAUAAGUGCAAACUUGUCACAAAAAGCAAAGGCUGUGGUUUCACCAUACUUUGCUCCAGCAUUCGCUUUAGCUUAAGCUGGCGGUCAAUCUGUUGAUGUUUGGUAAACAGAAUGAUUGUCAUAUCACUAAACUAGAAAAAAUAAGCGCUUCGAUAUUUUUUCAAAACAAAGAAGAUCGGAUAUUGAAGGUUUUGUUUGCUUUAUACUUCCCUAUCCUAAACCCAAUGAAACAAAAUAUACUUUGUAGAAUCACAUAAGAACACUAACUGCACGCGGGUUCGAUUCCCGCCAUCUCCACCA
rnacentral:tmRNA from 1 species